UUGUGCUGUCUCCCUUGUGCACAAGUAAUAAAUGGGGUUUCUACGUACGAAAUGAUGCCUCGGUGUGAUUAAUCUCCGACAGUUUCUUGGAGGUCCCACCAAGAUGACUAACCCCUGGGGUUGGGUCACGGAGCGCCAGCGUUAGGACAUCGCGGCUCAAGGACUCCUCAGUCUGCGGCAGCCCGAUUUGGGCUUCUGGGGUUCGUUGACCCGUGAAAUGUCUUCGCCUGCCUGUGGCUGACUCUUAGGCGAUACUGGAGCGACUUAUCCUACCCUUCGGCCUGUUGAGGCUCCUGAUGUCAUCCCCUUUAGGGAUUCGAUUUCUGUCAUUGGGAGUCUCGGGGCAACCGCUUUCGCUGCCAGUUUCCGAAGAAGUGCCCUUUGACCUGAACGUAAGAAAAGGAUCCCAUCGAUUCCUCCUUGGGGCUGAUGUCCCGGUCAAUCUUUUGGGUCGUGAUCUCCUCUGCAAACUCGGUUGCACUUUAGACUGCUCUAAUAAUUCUAUCCCUCUUCAAGUUCCCGAGUCUACUUACUCCACAGUCAUCGGCCUUCUACAGGAAGAUACUUUGCGUCAUUUGGUUUGGUGGUGGAAUUUCGGACACUGCGAUUUAUCCGAUAAACUCAAGACUGCACUACUCCAGCUUCUGACCAACCGCUGUGUUCCUGCCAGGAUAGCCAUCCACCCACCCACCCCUGCAACACUGGCUUCGGGAUCUUCACUGUACAGUGCACUACUCUGCCUGCUCGGAUCAUCAGUAUGCCCAUGAGAUAAAAGGCCAUCUGGCUUGCAUUCACAGGUGGUAGAAGCUAAGAAAAAGCCCACCAUUGAAGAUUGCCAUCAAUACCAGCCCGGGGACCUAGUCCUGGUAAAGACCUUCAGGAGAAAGAAUUGUUUGGAAUCUCGAUGGGAGGGGCCUUUCCAAGUCCUGCUCACCACCCAUACGGCCGUGAAGGUUGAAGGACGACCCUUGUGGAUCCAUGCCUUGCACGUCAAGCGGACGCUGACCUUGGACGGAAAUACUUGAGCAGGAACCUUGACUGAGCCAUCAGAAUGUUGACUCUGAUUUGGAUCCUGUCCUGUGUGGUCCUUGCAGAGGCAUGGACUACCAAUUCCGCGGUUCAAUGGAUGCAGGCCAUAGCCUCGCAAGUUAAUCGAACUAAAUGUUGGAUUUGUACUCAUUUUCCCGUUAACCCUUCCUCCUCAGAGAUGCAUUUUUUAGCUUUCCCCUCAGGUUCCGCAUGGUCCCAAUGUAAUUCCGGGGCCCUCAUCCAUCAAAUGCCCAUUUGGAGACGGGAGCCCACUUUUGUGGUUGUUAAGGGGCCAGCCUGGCUAUGUGUCAGGAGAAAUUAUACCAAGGGUAGUACUCGGCUGAGUGAGUUGCCAUUGGGUUCCUGUGCCUACCUUGCUGAUUAUGACCACUGGGAGGGUCAAUUUCUGUUCCACAACCAGUCUGGUCCUAUGACUGCCUUUUGGGAGUGCAAGGCCAAUGAGACGGUAUGUCUUUCGCAGGUCCCGAGAUCUGAGGCUAAUCUCACAUACUUUAACGUGAGUGGGUGUGAUUGCCAAUGAUUGUACAAUCUCACCUCAAAUUAUUCCACCUCCACUUGAACCUCGAAUGGCUGCUACACUGAAGAAUCUGGGCCUUGCAAUUACAAAAAUCAGUCCAGUUGCCCCGACUUGCUAGUCCUGCGAGUGUUGCAGCUCAGUCAGACCUGCCGCAUCCGCUGGUAUGCCCGGGCAAAUUCUUCUCUCGUCUGGAAGUGGCUUAACUUUUGUCAAAAUUCCACUUAUUGGUGCCCUACCCUUGUCCACAAUGGCUCAUCCUGGCUUUGUGGAGACAGGACGUACAAAACCCUCCCUAUCGAUUGGGCAGGCACCUGCACCAUUGGCUAUAUUGACCCUGAGGCCUUUGGGGUCGAGCGCCUUGCCAUCCACUCUCCCCACAACCAUCGAGGGCCUGUGAGGCAUCAUAAACAAUCAACCUAGAACCCGCUUGUUACCCGUAACACCAGAUUCCACAACUUUGUCCGAGCCCUCAUCCCAGGUCUAGGGGUCUCAGAACUGGAAAAGGCCAUUGUUAAUAUCUCUGCUACAAUGGAACUUAUUGAGAAUAAGACUGUUGACGCCAUUCAGAGUCUGCAGUUGGAGGCUAAGUCCCUUUCCAAGGUUGUCCUCCAGAACCAUAUGGCCCUGGACUUCCUGCUAGCAGCGCAGGGGGGAGUCUGUGCAGCUAUUAAUGAAACGUGUUGUUUCUGCAUUAACAAGGACCAGAGGAUUGAGACUGAUGUACAUUUCAUUCAGGACCAGGUGUGCCUCCUCCAUGCAGCUGCCCAGGAAAAAUCCUUUGACUGGUGGGGGUGGCUCCCUAAUAUCGGUGGGUGGUUUGGGGGCCUUUUUAAAACCCUCCUCAAAUACCUUGUCACAGGUCCUGCCCUAUUCAUUGUCCUGUAUGUAGUUAUCCAGCUUGUCCUCUGUUGUAUCCGCUCUGUCUGCCGAUUACAGAACCUCCAGAGUCCUGGUGGCAAGACAGCUAUCCACUCCCUCCCUCUCCUCAGGAAUCAGGACCCCACUGAGGAUCAAGCCCAGCGACUAGGAUACAUAGAACUUGGCUAAGGGUGGUGGAUUGUCCUUUUAGGACAAAAGUGGGGGAAAUGUGGUGGCCUAGGCAACUGCAGGGAGCCCAGUUGGUGCUGGAAGGGUUAAUGAGAAGUUGAUUGUACGCCUCGGCUUAAGAGAAAAAUACUACAACCUUGAGAUGAAUACAAUCUUGCCUGGCCACAGUUGCAGGAUGAGCCCUGAGACAUUCCAUUUUGUUUUUCUCAGGCCGAAUGUAAUCAGGGUUGUGAUAAACAACUGCGUAACCAAACAUCUGUUGAGAGGGAAAUGGAAAUUUACUGGAACAUGGAUUGGUCAGUUAACUUAAGCAAAUGUAUGGAUAGGUUUGUUACAAAACUUACUGAUUGGCUGUAAAAAUGCUUUUAACAAGUCUGCAUGUAUUCUGCCAAGAGACUGUACAGUAGCUCUCAUUGUGCUGUCUCCCUUGUGCAGAAGCAAUAAAUGGGUUUCUAUGUAAGAAA